AGGUAAUUGUCUGCUACACUGCUUCUUUCAGUAAUUUUUGAUCACUCACGUCUCACGAGUAAGUGGGUUUGGAAAAUUCGUUGAAAAUGCCCGUUGGUCCGCUGAGAGCAUUUGGAAGGAAACACAUCGAAUUGUUAAGUGCAUGGACACCCACGGCAGCGACGUUUGGCGCGACAGCCGGUGCUGCUCUAGUGUAUUUCACCGACUGGAAAUUAGUUCUUCAAUAUGUUCCUUACAUUAACGGGAAAUUCAAAAGUGAAGAGUGAUAUAGCGUGAAUGUUCUUCCGUAGUCAUUAUGAACCCUACCAUCUCCAUGUAAUAUAUUAUUAAUGCGUAUUAUAUACGGCAACCUAUGUACAAAAUGUAACUUUAUAAUGAACAGUGAACGACAUAGAAAAUAAAUUAUACUGCUGAACAGAA